rnacentral:rRNA from 1 species
AGAGUUUGAUCAUGGCUCAGAUUGAACGCUGGCGGCAGGCCUAACACAUGCAAGUCGAGCGGUAGCACAGAGAGCUUGCUCUCGGGUGACGAGCGGCGGACGGGUGAGUAAUGUCUGGGAAACUGCCUGAUGGAGGGGGAUAACUACUGGAAACGGUAGCUAAUACCGCAUAAUGUCGCAAGACCAAAGUGGGGGACCUUCGGGCCUCAUGCCAUCAGAUGUGCCCAGAUGGGAUUAGCUAGUAGGUGGGGUAACGGCUCACCUAGGCGACGAUCCCUAGCUGGUCUGAGAGGAUGACCAGCCACACUGGAACUGAGACACGGUCCAGACUCCUACGGGAGGCAGCAGUGGGGAAUAUUGCACAAUGGGCGCAAGCCUGAUGCAGCCAUGCCGCGUGUGUGAAGAAGGCCUUCGGGUUGUAAAGCACUUUCAGCGGGGAGGAAGGCGGUGAGGUUAAUAACCUCAUCGAUUGACGUUACCCGCAGAAGAAGCACCGGCUAACUCCGUGCCAGCAGCCGCGGUAAUACGGAGGGUGCAAGCGUUAAUCGGAAUUACUGGGCGUAAAGCGCACGCAGGCGGUCUGUCAAGUCGGAUGUGAAAUCCCCGGGCUUAACCUGGGAACUGCAUUCGAAACUGGCAGGCUAGAGUCUUGUAGAGGGGGGUAGAAUUCCAGGUGUAGCGGUGAAAUGCGUAGAGAUCUGGAGGAAUACCGGUGGCGAAGGCGGCCCCCUGGACAAAGACUGACGCUCAGGUGCGAAAGCGUGGGGAGCAAACAGGAUUAGAUACCCUGGUAGUCCACGCCGUAAACGAUGUCGAUUUGGAGGUUGUGCCCUUGAGGCGUGGCUUCCGGAGCUAACGCGUUAAAUCGACCGCCUGGGGAGUACGGCCGCAAGGUUAAAACUCAAAUGAAUUGACGGGGGCCCGCACAAGCGGUGGAGCAUGUGGUUUAAUUCGAUGCAACGCGAAGAACCUUACCUGGUCUUGACAUCCACAGAACUUUCCAGAGAUGGAUUGGUGCCUUCGGGAACUGUGAGACAGGUGCUGCAUGGCUGUCGUCAGCUCGUGUUGUGAAAUGUUGGGUUAAGUCCCGCAACGAGCGCAACCCUUAUCCUUUGUUGCCAGCGGUCCGGCCGGGAACUCAAAGGAGACUGCCAGUGAUAAACUGGAGGAAGGUGGGGAUGACGUCAAGUCAUCAUGGCCCUUACGACCAGGGCUACACACGUGCUACAAUGGCAUAUACAAAGAGAAGCGACCUCGCGAGAGCAAGCGGACCUCAUAAAGUAUGUCGUAGUCCGGAUUGGAGUCUGCAACUCGACUCCAUGAAGUCGGAAUCGCUAGUAAUCGUAGAUCAGAAUGCUACGGUGAAUACGUUCCCGGGCCUUGUACACACCGCCCGUCACACCAUGGGAGUGGGUUGCAAAAGAAGUAGGUAGCUUAACCUUCGGGAGGGCGCUUACCACUUUGUGAUUCAUGACUGGGGUGAAGUCGUAACAAGGUAACCGUAGGGGAACCUGCGGUUG